rnacentral:rRNA from 1 species
UACGGGGGGGGCAAGCGUUGUUCGGAAUUACUGGGCGUAAAGGGCUCGUAGGCGGCCAACUAAGUCGGACGUGAAAUCCCUCGGCUUAACCGGGGAACUGCGUCCGAUACUGGAUGGCUUGAGUUUGGGAGAGGGAUGCGGAAUUCCAGGUGUAGCGGUGAAAUGCGUAGAUAUCAGGAGGAACACCGGUGGCGAAGGCGGGUCUCUGGGCCGUAACUGACGCUGAGGAGCGAAAGCGUGGGGAGCGAACAGG